rnacentral:misc_RNA from 1 species
GUGAUUAAAUCGAGCGUGUCUUCAUUGACCGCUCACCCUUCUCACCAUCCACAUACACCUGUGCACUGUUCAGCCUGAGCCGGUUUUCCGGUCCAGGUGAUCAUUUCAUACAAACUCUAGUCUUAUGAAUGUAAACGUUUUAAUAACAUAAUA